AUGCGCAUCUAUCUGCAGUUCGAGCGGACAGAUGGGAGCUUGCUCCCUGAUGUUAGCGGCGGACGGGUGAGUAACACGUGGGUAACCUGCCUGUAAGACUGGGAUAACUCCGGGAAACCGGGGCUAAUACCGGAUGGUUGUCUGAACCGCAUGGUUCAGACAUAAAAGGUGGCUUCGGCUACCACUUACAGAUGGACCCGCGGCGCAUUAGCUAGUUGGUGAGGUAACGGCUCACCAAGGCGACGAUGCGUAGCCGACCUGAGAGGGUGAUCGGCCACACUGGGACUGAGACACGGCCCAGACUCCUACGGGAGGCAGCAGUAGGGAAUCUUCCGCAAUGGACGAAAGUCUGACGGAGCAACGCCGCGUGAGUGAUGAAGGUUUUCGGAUCGUAAAGCUCUGUUGUUAGGGAAGAACAAGUGCCGUUCAAAUAGGGCGGCACCUUGACGGUACCUAACCAGAAAGCCACGGCUAACUACGUGCCAGCAGCCGCGGUAAUACGUAGGUGGCAAGCGUUGUCCGGAAUUAUUGGGCGUAAAGGGCUCGCAGGCGGUUUCUUAAGUCUGAUGUGAAAGCCCCCGGCUCAACCGGGGAGGGUCAUUGGAAACUGGGGAACUUGAGUGCAGAAGAGGAGAGUGGAAUUCCACGUGUAGCGGUGAAAUGCGUAGAGAUGUGGAGGAACACCAGUGGCGAAGGCGACUCUCUGGUCUGUAACUGACGCUGAGGAGCGAAAGCGUGGGGAGCGAACAGGAUUAGAUACCCUGGUAGUCCAC
rnacentral:rRNA from 2 species